UAGUGAGAGGAUAGAACAAAUUAUGAAAUGUGCAAGACACCAGGACUAGAGCAUGGUGAAAGAGGAAAAUGACCCAAGAUGAGUGCUCUAAAUAUGAGAAAUAAAG
rnacentral:lncRNA from 1 species